ensembl:tRNA tRNA:Cys-GCA-2-1 transfer RNA:Cysteine-GCA 2-1
GGGGGCAUAGCUCAGGGGUAGAGCGUUCGACUGCAGAUCGACAGGUCCCUGGUUCAAAUCCGGGUGCCCCCU